UCUCCGUUGGUGAACCAGCGGAGGGAUCAUUGCUGGAACGCGCCCCACGGCGUGCCCAGAUACCCUUUGUGAACUUAUACCUAUACCGUUGCCUCGGCAAGGCUGGGAGACGUCACGUCUCCCCCGUGCUGGGCCCCCCCCGGGGGCGCCCUACGGAGCAGGUCUGCCGGUGGCCCCUUCUAAACUCUUGUUUUCAACAGUACUACCUCUGAGCAAACAAAACAAAAAAUGAAUCAAAACUUUCAACAACGGAUCUCUUGGUUCUGGCAUCGAUGAAGAACGCAGC
rnacentral:misc_RNA from 1 species